rnacentral:rRNA from 1 species
ANNCUGGCGGCGUGCUUANCNCAUGCAAGUCGAACGCGAAAGAGUUCUUCGGAACUUGAGUAGAGUGGCGCACGGGUGAGUAACGCGUAAAUAAUCUACCCUGAUGUUUGGGAUAACCAGCCGAAAGGCUGACUAAUACCGGAUACAUGAUUAGCUGUUGGGCUAAUCAGGAAAGGUGGCCUCUUCUUGAAAGCUUCCGCAUUGGGAUGAGUUUGCGUACCAUUAGCUAGUUGGUGGGGUAAAGGCUCACCAAGGCAACGAUGGUUAGCGGGUCUGAGAGGAUGAUCCGUCACACUGGCACUGGAACACGGGCCAGACUCCUACGGGAGGCAGCAGUGAGGAAUAUUGCGCAAUGGGGGAAACCCUGACGCAGCGACGCCACGUGAGUGAGGAAGGCCUUCGGGUCGUAAAGCUCUGUCAGCAGGGAAGAAGUGUUAUACGGUUAAUACCCGUAUAAUUUGACGGUACCUGCAAAGGAAGCACCGGCUAACUCCGUGCCAGCAGCCGCGGUAAUACGGAGGGUGCAAANCGUNUGUUCGAAAUCCCUGGGCGUANAAGGGNCCCNNNNGNGUUUAUUNNUNNAAUGUAAAANCCCCACGGCUUAACCGUGGAAAGUGCAUUUGAAACUGUAAGACUUGAGUAUCNAGGGGAAAGUGGAAUUCCCGGUGUNANNNAAAUUCNUANAUAUCGGGAGGAAUACCGGUGGCGAAGGCGACNNUCUGGCUGAAUACUGACGCUGAGGCGCGAANCNNGGGGAGCAAACAGGANUANAUACCCNGGGUAGUCCAC